rnacentral:rRNA from 1 species
UCGACUUGGAGGUUGUGCCCUUGAGGUGUGGCUUCCGGAGCUAACGCGUUAAGUCGACCGCCUGGGGAGUACGGCCGCAAGGUUAAAACUCAAAUGAAUUGACGGGGGCCCGCACAAGCGGUGGAGCAUGUGGUUUAAUUCGAUGCAACGCGAAGAACCUUACCUGGUCUUGACAUCCACGGAAGUUUUCAGAGAUGAGAAUGUGCCUUCGGGAACCGUGAGACAGGUGCUGCAUGGCUGUCGUCAGCUCGUGUUGUGAAAUGUUGGGUUAAGUCCCGCAACGAGCGCAACCCUUAUCCUUUGUUGCCAGCGGUCCGGCCGGGAACUCAAAGGAGACUGCCAGUGAUAAACUGGAGGAAGGUGGGGAUGACGUCAAGUCAUCAUGGCCCUUACGACCAGGGCUACACACGUGCUACAAUGGCGCAUACAAAGAGAAGCGACCUCGCGAGAGCAAGCGGACCUCAUAAAGUGCGUCGUAGUCCGGAUUGGAGUCUGCAACUCGACUCCAUGAAGUCGGAAUCGCUAGUAAUCGUGGAUCAGAAUGCCACGGUGAAUACGUUCCCGGGCCUUGUACACACCGCCCGUCACACCAUGGGAGUGGGUUGCAAAAGAAGUAGGUAGCUUAACCUUCGGGAGGGCGCUUACCACUUUGUGAUUCAUGACUGGGGUGAAGUCGUAACAAGGUAACCGUAGGGGAACCUGCGGUUGGAUCACCUCCUUACCUUAAAGAAGC